CGCCAACCAGACGGCCGUUACACGCCGACCAGACGGCCGUUACACACCAUCCAGACGGCUGUUACACACCGACUAGACGGCACCGACCAGACGGCCAUCACACACCGACCAGACGGCCGUUACACACCAACCAGACGGCAGCUACACACCGACCAGACGGCAGCUACACACCGACCAGACGGCAGCUACACACCGACCAGACGGCCGUUACACACCGACCAGACGGCCGUUACACACCGACCAGACGGCCGUUACACACCGACCAGACGGCAGCUACACACCGACCAGACGGCAGCUACACACCGACCAGACGGCACCGACCAGACGGCACAGACCAGACGGCACCGACCAGACGGCCGUUACACACCGACCAGACAUCCGUUACACACCAACCAGACGGCCGUCACACACCGACCAGACGGCAGCUACACACCGACCAGACGGCAGCUACACACCGACCAGACGGCAGUCACACACCGACCAGACGGCAGCUACACACCGACCAGACGGCACCGACCAGAUGGCACCAACCAGACGGCCGCUACACACCGACCAGACGGACGUUACACACCGACCAGACGGCCGUUACACACCGACCAGACGGCCGUCACACACCGACCAGACGGCACCGACCAGAGGGCCGUUACACACCGACCAGACGGCCGUUACACACCGACCAGACGGCCGUCACACACCGACCAGACGGCACCGACCAGACGGCCGUUACACACCGACCAGACGGCCGUCACACACCGACCAGACGGCACCGACCAGAGGGCCGUUACACACCGACCAGACGGCCGUCACACACCGACCAGACGGCACCGACCAGACGGCUGUUACACACCGACCAGACGGCCGUUACACACCAACCAGACGGCCGUUACACACCGACCAGACGCCCGUUACACACCAACCAGGCGGCCGUUACACACCGACCAGGCGGCCGUUACACACCAGACCGCAGUGUGACUGAUUAGUCUCCACGAGUUGGUCCAAAAGUUCCUCAAAACACACCGAAGAGACGAGACGUAAUACGUCUCCAUAGCAGCAGGCGGCGCUAAUCUGGAUUGUCGCCCAAAAAAUGAAAACCGGCAGCUGAUUGGACGAAUGCGUCACGUGGGUCUGGUUUCUC
rnacentral:lncRNA from 1 species